ACUUGAAUAGCUUAUAGUAGAGCACAGUAUUGAAGAUACUGGGGUGAAGGUUUUCUUCAGGUA
rnacentral:tRNA from 1 species